GUUCCACUGCAACGAUUGGUGACUGCCAUCAAGUUUUUUGAUCUAUGUCUUUAAGAAAAAGGGAGCUAACAAUUCUCGUGGCAGUAAACUGGGCUUGUACCCAGAAACUUUAAACAAGAACAACCUGUUCCCCCCUGGUUUAACCAGGUCAUAAACUGAGGUAAAACGGCGUUGCGGUGAGCUU
rnacentral:other from 1 species